GGCAACGCUUGCUCUUCGCCCACCGACGAUUCUCUAUGACACUAUGUGCUCUGUGCCCGUCGCCCUCCUAUCCGCCCCUUCGCCGCCGGCGGCAACGCGCGACAGUCGCGGAGUCUACUCCGGCUGAUUUCAGACCGAACACGUCCACCGCGACGAUCGAUAAUCUCGCGCGGUGGCUCGAAGCCGCGGAAGUGCCGUGUUCCCGUCGUAGCGUCCGUCGGCCGCGGAUUUAACUGGCCGCGUACGUCGCCGUGAGCGAGAUGCGACGUCGCCGCGAGUGAGUGAGUGAGUGAGUGAGUGAGUGAGUGAGUGAGUGAGUGAGUGAGUGAGCAAGCAAGCGAGUGAGCGAGCGAGCGCGAGGUGAGGGAUCGCCGAUUGGAUUUCUGUCGCGCAAACACGGCGCGCGUUACCGGAGGACUGAGAACGCGAAAGAGAAAGAGAGAGAGAGAGAGAAAGACGGAGCGCGAGCGAGCGAGAGAGUACGAGAUAGGAAGGGCGAGAUACAACAGGAGCAAGAGAGAGAGGAAGAGAGGCGGAUUCUCGCGGCGACUUUCAGAGCCUCGCGGACGACCGUUGUGAAUUCCCCCAAUGGCGCACGCACGGCUCAGCUGUGUGCGCCUUGUACGCCCCACGUAGUAAUGCGCCUGCCAGGAUCGUCGUCCGGGUGACCACGCCAGUGCCGGGGCGUAGAGGUGAGCGUAGGAAACAUGGAGCAUCCAUUGAGUGUCGCAGUCACACAUUGCUCGAGUCAAUGUUACAUUUAGCCCUGCGUUUGGAUAGUAUUUAAUGCAACAGAAGUAGUAUAUUGUCGUGGCACAGUAGCCCCAACUCUUAUCAGGAGAGAUGGAUGCGGUGCGGGAUGAGGAUAGGUGGAGACGCCUGCGGUGUCUGGAGGAGCGCAUAAAAGAUCCAAGAAGUGUCACGAAUAUCGAUUGCUUACUAGACACGGUUCAAGCCUUGGUAUUGGAUUGCGAUCACACAAGUGUGAAACGCAUGAAAAACAUAGAAGCUUAUAUGAAUAGAUAUGACUCCGUAGCUCAAGAGAUAUAUAAAAUGCGAAUGCGCACGGACGAUUUUACUCUGAUAAAAGUAAUCGGCCGUGGAGCAUUCGGUGAAGUGCAGUUGGUUAGACACAAAUCUACACAAAAAGUUUACGCUAUGAAACUGCUUAGUAAAUUCGAAAUGAUUAAAAGAUCGGAUUCCGCAUUUUUUUGGGAAGAGAGGGACAUAAUGGCGCACGCCAAUUCUCAGUGGAUAGUACAGCUCCAUUUUGCGUUCCAAGAUCAAAAGUAUCUCUACAUGGUAAUGGAUUACAUGCCGGGUGGAGAUCUCGUGAACCUGAUGUCCAACUAUGACGUGCCAGAAAAAUGGGCAAAAUUUUACUGCGCCGAGGUGGUACUCGCAUUGGAUGCGAUACAUCUGAUGGGUUUCGUUCACAGGGAUGUAAAACCGGAUAACAUGCUGCUCGACAAACACGGUCACUUAAAACUCGCCGAUUUCGGCACGUGUAUGAGGAUGGAUGUUGACGGCUUGGUUCGGUCCGAUACCGCGGUCGGUACACCCGACUACAUAUCCCCGGAAGUUUUACAGUCGCAAGGCGGUGAGGGAGUGUACGGUCGUGAGUGCGAUUGGUGGUCCGUGGGUGUCUUUCUGUACGAGAUGCUGGUUGGCGAUACACCUUUCUAUGCUGACUCUUUGGUCGGCACAUACUCGAAAAUCAUGGAUCACAGGAACUCGCUGCAUUUCCCUCAGGAGGUCGACAUCUCACACUCGGCGAAAAACUUGAUAUGCGGCUUUCUCACCGACAGAACGAAACGUCUGGGCCGCAACGGUGUGGACGAGAUCAAGAAUCAUCCAUUCUUCAAGAAUGACCAGUGGACCUUUGAGAAUUUGAGAGAAUGCGUGCCACCGGUGGUGCCCGAGCUGUCUGGUGAUGACGACACGAGCAAUUUCGACGACGUUGACAAGGAAGACGGACCGGAGGAGAGCUUUCCAGUGCCCAAAGCGUUUUCUGGGAACCAUUUGCCCUUCAUCGGGUUUACCUACUCGGGUGAUUACCAGUUGAUGGCUUCGUACGGCAAGGAGUCCGUCGAUGGAUUGGAGAACCAUGUUAACAACGGUACUACGGACGACGUAAAAAUCUCGCAACUGGAGAAUCUGUUGGACCGUGAGAGACGGCAAGUGGAGACAAUGGAGUCGCGGCAGAAAGCACUGAACACGCAGUUGGAGGCGAUGACACGUCGAGAAGCCGAGCUACACGAGGAAAUCGGCAGGACGGACAAGGAAUUGACAUUGCUCAGACAUAACUACAAGGAGGCUCAGCGCCGAGUGGAACACGAGACGGAGAACCGCAGGAAAGCGGAAUCACUACUCGUAGAGCUGAAGAAGAAAUUCGACGAGGAGCAGACAAGACGAGCGCGGGAUGCUAGCAACUCACAGCAGACAUCCGAGCGCGUGACGACGUUGGAGAAGCAGCUCAAGGAGAUGCAGUGCAAGCUGGAGAGAGAAACAGAAACAGCCACGCGGUUGCGGAAGCAGACUACGGAAGUAACCGUCGCGCGUCAGGCCGCCGAGCAAAUGGCGAGCGAGCUGCAGGUUGUGAGAGCUCAGCUGCAAGCACAACGCGACAACUUACAACAGGAAGUUGCCGCUCUACAGGGUCAACUUUCCAAGGAACGCAGUUCCAGAUCACAAGCAUCAUCGCUGACGGCUGAAUUGGAGACACGUCUUUCCGCCUUGCAUCUCGAGCUAGAACGCAGUCAUGAAAAAGAAGAGAAGGCUACUCUGGACAACAGACAAUUGAAUGAAAGAGUUUCCGCAUUGGAGAAGGAAGCUACCAGUUUGGCAUUGGAAUUGAAAGCCGCGCAAGCUAGGUACAAUCAAGAAGUUGUGGCACAUCAAGAAACCGAACGGUCCCGUAUACUCUCCAAAGAAGAGGCCAAUCUGGAGGUUGUUAAAGGACAAAAGAAUGGAAUUUUCGAAGUGAAACUGAACGAAGAGAAAAGUGGAAGACAACGCGCGGAAUUACUCGCCCAGGAGAAGGAACGUCAGACGUCGAUGCUCUCCGUCGAUUACAGACAAAUACAGCAACGUUUGCAGAAAUUAGAGGGCGAGCAUAGACAGGAGAUGGAAAAAGUCAAGGUUCUGCAGGGCCAGGUUGAGCAGGAGCAGCAGAAGAGGAACGUUCUGCAAACCGAUCUGGGUCAACAAACGUCCGAGGCGGGAAGACUUCGUGCUCGCGAGCAACAAUUGGUUGGAGAGGUCGCUCAGUUAAGAGAAGCUAAACGACAAAUAGACGAGGAGUUGCAUCACUUGAAAACACAGAGGAAUGUCGAUCAGCUACAGACGAAGGAACUACAGGAGCAAUUGGAAGCCGAAGCUUACUUCUCGACUCUUUACAAGACACAGACACAGGAGUUGCGCGAAGAGCUGGACGAAAAAGUGAGGCUGCAGCAGGAAUUUGAGGAAGAACGUAGCUCCCUGGUUCAUCAGUUGCAACUGUCCCUAGCGCGCGGCGACAGCGAGGCAUUAGCCAGAUCUAUAGCUGAAGAGACUGUGGCGGAUUUGGAGAAGGAAAGGACGAUGAAGGAGUUGGAGUAUAAAGACGGAGUCUCAAAACAUCAUCAAGAGCUGAACGCGAAGGAACAGCUCAUAAACAGGCUCAAGGAGAACGAGAGCGAGUUCAAGAAAUCGGUCGAACAGACCUUGAAGGAAAAGGAAGACCUAAGUAAACGAUUGAAGGAACUGCAGGAACAACUCGGCAAAGCGCAAUCCAACGCGGAGGAGAUCGAGAAGCUCAGCAGCAAACUGAAAAACGAGCAAGUGCUGAAGCAGCAGGCAGUCAACAAAUUGGCUGAGAUCAUGAACCGGAAAGAUCUCUCGUCGAGCGGGAAGAACAAGAACAAGGCGUCCGCCGCGGAUCUAAGGAAGAAGGAGAAAGACUGCAGGCGGCUGCAGCAGGAACUUACUCAAGAAAGGGAAAAGUACGGACAGCUGGCAGCUAAAUGGCAGAAGGAUCUGCAAGAUAUACAGGCGCAACUCGUGGAGGAGAAUCAGGCAAAGCUGAGGUUGCAAAUGGAACUGGACUCAAAGGAUUCAGAGAUAGAAACGCUGCAAAUGAAAAUCGCAUCGCUCAAUUCGGAAACUGCCAGCGUCUCGUCGAUCGAGAACGACGGAGAGGACUCGGUCCUGUCCGAACAUGGUACGAUGAGGCUGGAAGGCUGGUUGAAUGUGCCAAACAAGCAGAACAUUAAGCGACACGGCUGGAAGAAGCAGUACGUCGUAGUCUCCUCCAAGAAGAUAAUUUUUUACAACAGCGAGAACGAUAAGAUGAACGCUGAUCCGGUCCUGAUAUUAGACUUGAAUAAAGUCUUCCACGUUAGAUCUGUUACUCAGGGUGAUGUUAUCCGAGCCAAUGCCAAAGAUAUACCCAGAAUAUUUCAGUUACUCUAUGCCGGUGAGGGUGAGGCGAGACGGCCUGGCGACGAGGGAAAUACACUGCCUGGAGUGGAUUUACCACAGCUCACAGACAAACCCGGUACUCAGUCGCUGAAGGGCCACGAAUUCGUGUCAAUAUCGUAUCACAUGCCGACGACUUGCGAAGUCUGUUCGAAACAACUCUGGCAUAUGUUCCGGCCUUCGCCAGCCCUGGAAUGCCGAAGGUGUCGCAUUAAAGUUCACAAGGAACAUUUGGAUAAGAAGGAAGAUGCCAUAGCCCCAUGCAAAUUGCACUACGAUCCGAACAGCGCUCGCGAGUUGCUGUUACUCGCGGCGAAUCCCGAGGACCAGAAGUACUGGGUCUCGAGGCUGUCCAGACGCGUUCAGAAGUGCGGCUACAAAGCAAACUCGCAUGUGGACGGCACGGGACAGCGAGUCUCGCCAAGGUAGCGUAGCCGUGCUGCUCGACGCGAGCGGGGACUAAGUAGCUCUCUUAUUUUGUGGCGUCGCAUGAUUGGGUGUAGAGAGGGAAUCUACGAGGUCGACCUUGACCAAGCCAUACUUGACGGUGCAACAACGAUCCGCGACGUUACCAGCGAACGCCAGUAUGGGCAAGUGAUCUUGGAAGAUCCUACCGCUGGCCAUUCGAAAUUCUGAUCAUGAUCAGUUGCCUCGUUUGCCCCCGAUAACGGUGAAGUCAGUGAGGACGCUGAGUCGAUCGAUCUCUGCGACCACGACGACCUCACGAUUUUCUCUUCGCGCUAUCCGGCGAUCCAAGUAGACUGUCGAUAAUUUUCUAGAUCGAGGAGAGAGAACAAUCUAAGUAGCGGUUGCGAUCAUCACGAUCGACGUUACUCUUGCAGCUAAAAAUAAAUUCAUGUUUGAGAAUUGCUGGAGAAAACAGGGUUACUACGCGUGUGCUGGAUGAAACGAAUCAGAUAUGAGUACGAAGAGGAGGAGAAGAAGAAGAAGAAAGAGACACACAGAACACCGAGUUCAGGAUCUGGUUGCCCAUCGUAGUCGUUCCCAGGACAAUAACGUGAGUCACGGAGAUGCGCCGUGUUCCUCGGAAUUGUCGGAUUGUUUUGUCGUGUGCGAUGACACGAUGUAAAACUUUCUUUCGUACGGUGUUCGUGAUAUUAUAUAUACAUGUAUUCGCGCGGCAGACUGUAAGCGUUCUUUCGGAAAAAGGAUUUCUGCAGUGAUUUCUGGAUUGGGACUGUAUUUAACUUUAUACGCACAUUUCUUACUGCCUUCGAUUAACGCGAUUAACGAAAUCGUGAUGGGAACUAUUUUUUAGCGUAAGGCGAAAGUCGCGUUUUUUUGAUGCUUUAAGCCGAAAUUUCAGAAGCUUACGAAGAGAAAGAGAGAGAGAGAGAAUAGUAUUUUGAAAUUAUUUUAUAUACACAGAUUGUCUCUGAGAAUGUGUGUGUCAUUAAGUGUCGCGCCAUUAAGGAGUCUUGCUUUUCUAACGUAACUCUUGCGUCUUUGUGGGGGUUAAUUUAAUUAACACUCGAUGGUCGAAGCGUUCCUUUUUGGGCGAAUUGAGUUGCGAAAAGUAUAAAUAACCGAGCCACACGCGUCCGAGGACCAACAGCGACAGUUUUAUCGAACAUGAGAAGCGAGUCGACUCCGCGGAUCAUUGCGAGGAGGAAACCCAUUGUACGAUUGACCAGCGUGCGACGCGUGCAAGGACUAAAUGCGAGUGCACAGCGACGAGUGCCGGUUCUUGAUUUGUAUAGUAGAGAUAAUAAUUACGGUUGUAAGUUAAGAAUUUUUAUUAUGAUGAUACACGAGCUAACGACGUCCGCUGUAUCCCGACAGAGAAGGAGGAAAUGCGAGAGAGAGGGAAAGGGAGAGGAGGGGAAAAAAAAACUAAAAGACGAGAAAAGAACUAAAGAAAGAGACAUGCAUAAUCGAGAGGUUUAGAAGUUGCGUCACGGUGCCAUACGGCUUGGCGACAAGAGGAAACAAAACGAGGGAAAAAAGAAGCAAGGAACGAUCUUAGAAACCGUGUUAUCUAUUAUUAACGCGUCAUCGCCGUCUGUGUUCUUUCCAAAGUACCUCCGCGAGGCAUCGCAUCAUGCCGAUACUCGCCGGAACGAAGAGCCGGUCGCAGUGACAGCAUUGUCGGCUAACUGCGGUUAACUGAAUUCUCCUUCUCUAUGGGCCGGGCCUAUAAAUGUGAUGGUAAAAUGGACUUCAUCACCGAUCACCUGUCUUUUUUUUUUUUCUUUGCAUGGACAGAGUUUAGUGAGAACUUAUCUCUAAUUCUGUGGCAUCUAGAGGGACAGAUGUUUUAAUGAAUGUAGAAAAGUUCCAGUUUCUCUCUUUCCAAAAGAAGAAAGAACCGAUAGAGCCUCAACUUAACUUUAACCAAUGUCGAUGAAAACGGCCUUUAUGUAGAUAAUGUAGCUAAGUCUAGAAAGAAAUAGGAAAUCUGUAGCUAGGAUCAAUUAAUCAAAGUUUGUCAUAUCUACGUGCAUCACGUUGAAUUAAACUGUAGUUAACUAAAUUCUCUCUUUCCAUCUAUAUUAUAGCCCUUUAGCCUAAGUAAAGGACGGAGAAUCGCUAACCGCCAAGUUAGUUGACUAUAGUUAUCGGUAUAAUUGAUCCCAAGAAAUCAGCGAGACGUCCCUUAAAAUGGUGCUCCCCCUGUCCCAUCCAUCCUUUUGGUUUGGCAGAGCGACGAGAGCGAGCGAGAAGCAUCCGUUGCUUCUCACCGUCGAUGGUAAUUGGAAUUGAAAGUGUGAGGAAGAGAAAAAGAGAGUGAGAGAGAGAAAGAGAGAGUGAGAGAAAGAGAAAGAAAGGUGCACACAUCGAAACGGAAAGGAACACCAUCUGACAUACUGCCCUGUGCCUUCUUCGCAGUUUCUGCACUUUUUAAAGGUGAAACUGGAAGAAAACUGACAAUGAGAGCGAGAGCGAGAGAAAGAAAGAGAGAACGUGAGAGUGAUUGAGAGGAAGGAGCAAAGGAAGAACUUGUUACAGCAUAUUUUAUUAUUGUUUAGUUAUUUACAAUCUGUAUAUUAUUAAUUAAUAUUACGAUUAAAAGUAUUUUGUAGAUAAUACGCGGCUCUCUUUAUAGCGCCUCUAUAGCCAUCGACUGCGCGUGAUUGCGUUCGAGCUCGAUCUUUCACGGUCGAUCGCUCUUCCCUCGACCGUCGUUCGAAAGAGAGCGAUCCUGUAUACGUCAUUUUCUAGAUUGUUUGAGGCUCCUUACGAUGGCUCAAAAGCUGCUCCCGUUCUCGAUCGAUCACGGACGAGCGUGUUUUUAUUUGUAGCUCGUUUUGUAGAACUAAUCAGAGAUCUCCUAUAUGACUGCGCGUCGACAAUCGUUCGUCGCAACGCUCUUGUAAUCGAGAGUAAAUCUGAAUUGCUGAAUUAAGUACGAAAUUGAAGAGAGAUACGGUGAACUCCGUUACGUCGUCUUUCCUUGUAGUGAAGCUGUUCCACUUCUUCUAAAUAAUCUCGACGUUUCCGAACAGAAAAACGUAGAAAGAAAGGGCGGACGCGUGCAUUCGAUCUUUCAAUUUACGAAAAAAAAUUAAUUUCUCCCAUAACACACGCAAGGAUUGCGAAUUCGUUGGAGAUUAACGGUGAACGAAUCAGAAUACGAGUAAUCGCUUCACGUAAGAUACCAUUCUCCUUUAGUUGAUAAUUCUUUUUUUUUCAAAUUCAUGUAAAGAUAACUCAAAGAUCUAACGAUGGAUAUUACUUUUCAGAUCACCACGAUUUUGAUGUAUUCGAUAAGUGUAUAGUACUAACAAAGAAAAAACGUAAGAUUGUUGAACAAUUCUUUUCUCCACGUUAGUCGGGAAUCAAGGAUCUGAGAAGUUGUUACGAAUGAUACCUCGCACAGCAGCUCUUAGACCUUGAAAUUUAUUUCAGCUACAAUUGAAGUCUUGCGUGUGAACGAGAUCCUUUCUGUUAGAUGCAACAGGCAUGAUUCGGGGGCAAAGGUAUUGGAAUCCAAAAUUUCACAGAAAAGAUUAAGAUAACAAUUUAGAAGGAAACAUCAGUAAUAUCAGAAAAAACAUCGAAAAGAAAAAUUAUAUAUAAUAGGCAUGAUUCGGGGCCAGAGACAUUGGAAUAAAAAAUUUGACAAUUGAGAGAACAAUUUAGGAGGAAAAUAUGACACAGACAUGCAGAAAAACAACGCGAUGCAAGAAUCGAAUAAUCCAUAUCAACGAGUAAUUUUGAUUGCGAAUUCCGAGUCGAUUUUUCUCCCUUUCUUUUUUUAAGUGGUUUUCUUUUUUUUUUUUAUUUUACAUUAUAACACGAGGAAACUCCGUGAACGGCGCGCUCGGGUAUCGAGUAUGUCUAUUCGAUUACGUUUUCAUAGUUGCUAUAUAUGGACUAAUCGCUUUUUGCAUUUACUAAACCGCUUA